CUCGCUCGCUCGCUCGCAAGUAGAUAUCCUGAUCUCUCUUCCGUCCGCCUGAAACACCAUUUAUUGGCCUCUGCACACCUCACCGCAACCGCCACCACCGCCUGUUGGUGAAGCCCAUCGCCUUCCUUGAGCACCAUACAUCCGGCUCUACGCACCUCGCCGCCACUGCCGCUGUCAUCGAUUGGUGAAGCCCGGGAAGCCUCUCCAUGGAGGAAUACUGGCCAUCGGAUCUGCUCCAUGCGCCGGGUCCUUCGAGAGGCGUCGAGUCCCCCGCUCGCCCCCUCCUCCCGCUCCUCCACCACGGCCUUGCCCGCUCCACCAUCCAUCAGUCUCUCACCUCCAUCCCCGUCCAUCCCGACGGGAUCCCAUCCACCUCCUUCCUGUGGCUGCCCCACUCUCCGCCGCCACUGCUGGCCCCUGAUCCCGUCGGGCGUUGGACGGCAUCCUGGUCGCCCACGGUGCCGGUGCUCUCAUGUCCUCGCUCGACACGGAGCACAUGGCACUAAGCACCCGCGACAACGGACACCGGGUUGUUUUGUUAACCAUCUUCGACAAGACUCCCAUCUCUAGGGUCACGCAUCUGCCCCUGACUCUCAGCUCUGAUGUCGGGUUGUCGAGCUGCAGCCUCCCCGGCCUUCCCACGAGCUCAUCGAGCACGUGCAGAGGAGCAACAGAGUGCCACUGAGUAUAUCUAAUGGUAUAGUCGAGUUGUCCAUCGUCAGGAGGCUUCACACCAUAUCCGAUCUCCUCUCACACACAGAUGCUCCGUCCAUCCUUGCAACGGGAUGUUAUCCCAAGCGCACGGCGCAGCUACCCCCUAUGGUAGCCGUCUCCAAGCUAGAGCCCUUUGUCAGGCUUCCAUUUGACAGAAGACAUCGUAUAGCCUUCACCAAAAGAGUAGCCUCGGAUUGGAGCUCUCCAUUAUGCCCGACUGCCUGCUGCACCUCCUGCUUUGUGCUACCUAUUAGUAGGUUUGUUAUUAUCUUCCAUUCAGUUAAAUGCUUGAUGAUAUCCAGAUAAAAUGGGGUGUGCUUCUUUGAGAUGUUUGAUGUAGGCAAAAUCAGCAAGCUGCCUUUCCCAAGAAUCAAACAGAUGUCUCAACUAUGACCGAGCCAAGAUAUGAAUCAGAAUCAUUCCAAAGCAUUAAUUUAUAGUCAACAUGGAGACAAACUAAAAUAUGGAUCAACUCUAUUUCUGUUUACAUCAUCACUAAAUUUUCGUCUGUCUCAAUUUUCUUCUUCGUUUAUGUUGUGUUUUUCAUAGCAUGGACACCUGAUCAAUCCUACAAACAUAUCGUUCCAACUCGGAUUGCAUUCACGACUUUGGUUUUUGUUCAAAAGCCUACAAUUAUCUUGGAUUAUAUGUAUACAGAGAUAUUCAGUUCAGACUUGCAGGUGUGCAAUCCACAGACUAUUGUCUGGACUAAUCUACAAUGUUAUUUCCGUCUCGGUGAUCUUAGCAUAAAUCUAUUGGUACAUUAAGAGAUUGUGUGCAAAGGGUACAUUACAGUAUUUAUUUGGGAUGUAUGAUUCUUCAGAAAUUGUAGGACAUUACAUUACGGUAUUUAGAAUUCCUGUAAUUCCUACGAUCUCCAAUAUUAUGAGAACUGUACUUAGAA